ensembl:miRNA
GCCCUGCUCUACAGCACCGGCCAAGCCCUGCCUCUGGCCCUGGCCCUGGUCCUGGCCUUGGCCCUGGCC